GCAGCAAGUAAUGGCACACACAGAAUGAAGUACCAUUCUACAAGUGUCAGGAUGUCCCACUUUCGUAUUGUGCGAAAGUGCUGGCAGAAAAUGAGAGCAUCUACAUCAAAUCUCCACAACUGCAUCAGGGAGUAAAAGAUACUGUGAAUUCCACCAUUAAGCACCUUCAAAACAGAUUUGGUAGCCUUUUAGGCACAGUGAGAAGCAUGCAUGAAACACCUACUGCCAAGCACCUACAGCAGUGAAAUGCUUCAACAUCUUUAAUCAGGACUCCUGGCCAACUGAGAAAGAGAAACUCUUGGACUACGGUGCAGAAGAGCUUGAUUUUCUGCUAAAGCAUUUCUCUCCUGUCCUAGAAAGGAAUGGAUGUGAACAAGAUCUUGCUAAAGAGGAGUUUCAGGCACUGAAAACAAUGAUCACAGUCUCUUUCAUGGAUAAGAGCUACCUCGGACUGUGGGACAUUAUGUUGUCUAAGGAACCAUACUGCUCUGACU